CGAACGCUGGCGGUGUGCUUAACACAUGCAAGUGGUGCGACGAACCAGGCUUCGGCCUGGGGCAAAGCCGCGAACGGGUGAGUAACACGUGGGUAAUCUGCCCCGAUGACCGGGACAACCCGAGGAAACUCGGGCUAAUACCGGAUGUGGUGCACAGGCUCAAGCCUGUGUACUAAAGGUAGCUUCGGCUUCCGCAUUGGGAGGGGCCCGCGGCCCAUUAGCUUGUUGGUGGGGUCAAGGCCUACCAAGGCAACGAUGGGUAGCUGGUCUGAGAGGACGAUCAGCCACACUGGGACUGAGACACGGCCCAGACUCCUACGGGAGGCAGCAGUGGGGAAUCUUGCGCAAUGCGCGAAAGCGUGACGCAGCAACACCGCGUGAGGGAAGACGGACCUAGGGUUGUAAACCUCUUUCAGAUGGGACGAAGGUUCAGCGGUGAAUAGCCGACUGGAUUGACGGUACCUUCAGAAGAAGCUCCGGCUAACUAC
rnacentral:rRNA from 1 species